GCGUGGACGAACGGAAAGACAGACAGACAAACACAUAGAUAGUGCAUUCAGACCUGGUUAUGGCAAAUUGUUGAGGACUCGAAGUACUCGGUAUUAGUUUAAACAAUAUUUUAUUUAUAAUCCACACAUUUACAUAAUAUAGUACAUAAAAUAAAAUUUACGGAUUUAGUAGGAAGCUUAUAAAGCUUUUUCCGUAUUUUUUUAAAUCAAAGAGCUAAAGCUUAGAUAUCAAAGGGACUCCACGGAGGGUAAAAAGCCGAAAACAUAACAUUUGAAUUUAUUACAUAAAUGAGCUGGGGCACUUUAAACAGAAAUAUAUGCAAAGAUAGUGAAGAAAUAUACUUUGAAAUAAAUUGAAAAUCGUAUUUUUAUGUUUUUCUUAGCCCGAUUUUCAGUCCCAUCCUGUCAAAAAACCUCAGUGGAGUCCCUUUAAGCAUGAAAUAUCUUCUAAUGGGUGUCUACCCACUUUGUUCAAAUAAAAGCCCUCUGGUUUAAAUUGGCCCCGCCCUGGGGUCCUAUAUACAGGUGUGCGACUUCAGUGCCAUCAUGGUCCUCUUGUUUAUAAUUAUUUCAUAUAAAUUUCUGUGUCUAGAUAUAUCUAAAUGUAAUGAAGCUGUUGUAGCAGUUUUUAAAUAUCAACAACAAAUUAUUAAAGAAUUUUCUGUGAAAAAUCAAGAAAAAAAAACAUUUACCUGCACCAUGAUUAAAUUAUAUGCUUGCAAAAUGUUUAUUUCUCUACAGCAAAAAAGAAAGUCAUCAAAGACAUCACAUAUUUGAUGAAAACUAUGCAAAUGUUAUUAGGAGAAAACAUUCAUAAAUGGCGUCAAUUACUUCAAGCGUAAAACUAUAGAACAACUGUGUUUUCGUUUACAAAAGCAUUUCCUGUUUCAAAUGCUGGACCCAAAGUAUCCAGCAACAGGACUAAGAAUCCACAUGAUGAGGUGUGUACAGACAAAUUCAUGUCUGUACAAGUUAUUCUGCAGAAACCAAACACUAUCACUCAAUUACUCGGCUUAUCUGCUUUUGAAUGAAGCUUUGGCCUUCAUCGUAGCCUGUUACAAGAAUAUAACCUACUUAAAGGCCGAUGAAGGCUGCAGAGAGACAGAAGUGGAAAUUAGGGAUUUGAUCCGUAAAACAAGAAAAAAUUUGUGUUUGAAUAUUAAUUGACAUUUCAGUGACAGUGUUUGUAUCUGAAGGGCUUCUAUUUCAAUAAUUAUGUUUACUUUGAAGUUAGAAUUUUACAUUUAUCUUCUUAGUAUCUAUUUUUCACUGAUUAUAAAUGCUCUUAUUCAUUGCUUUUAUUGUGCCCCCACUUUAGUUGCGGGCAUUUAGAUUUACCCUUGUCCGUCCGGCCGUUCUCUUUUGUGUCGCACGUACCUCAAAAAGUAUUUAACCUAGAGUCAUGAAACUUUACAGGAAUGUUGAUCAGCAUGUGUAGAUGUGCACAUGGGUAUUUUCGUCUGGAUAUUGUUUGUAUUUUUAGAGUAAUUGCCCUUGACUUAGUAAAAUUUUGCAAUUUUCAACUUGUGUCACAUGUAACUCAAAAAAUAUUUGACCUAGAGUCAUGAAACUUUACAGGAAUGUUGAUCAGCAUGUGUAGUUGUGCACCUGGGUAUUUUCGUCUGCAUUUUUUUAGUAUUUUUAGAGUUAUUGCCUUGCCCUUGACUUAGUAAAAAAAAUUCAAUUUUCAACUUGUGUUGCAUGUAAAUCAAAAAGUGUUUGACCUAGAGUCAUGAAACUUUACAGGAAUGUUGAUAAGCAUGUGUAGUUGUGCACCUGGAUAUUUUCGUCUGUAUUUAUUUAGUAUUUUUAGAGUUAUUGCCCUUGACUUUGUAAAAUUUUGCAAUUUUCAACUUGUGUCGCAUGUAACUCAAAAAGUAUUUGACCUAGGGUCAUGAAACUUUACAGGAAUGUUGAUCACCAUGUGUAGUUGUGCACCCGGUUGUUUUCGUCUGGAUUUAUUUAGUACUUUUAGAGUUAUUGCCAUUGACUUAGAAUUUUUUUGCAAUUUUCAACUUGUGUCGCAUGUAUCUCAAAAAGGAUUUGACCUUGAGUCAUUAAACCUUACGGGAAGGUUGCUCAGCAUAUCAAGUUUUGCACCUGGGGUUUGGCUUGUGGAUUUAUCCAGUUUUUGAAGAGUUAUUUCCCUUGACUUAGUAAAAACCGUUUCAUUAUGUUAUCUGUUCCUUGAGUGCUUGAGUUAGAAUCAACCAACUUUACAGGAAUAAUGAUCAACAUCACUAAAUUACAGGAAUAAUGAUUCACAUCACUGUGAAGCUAUGUCCUGGGACUUGGCAUGUGAAUUUUUUUCAGUUUUGUUAUAGUUAUUGCCCUUGAGUUACAGUAGUAUAAAUUUGCAAUUUUCAACUUGUUCAUGCAUAGCUCAAAAAGUGUUUCACUUGAAGGCCUGAAAGUUUACAAGAAUGUUGGUCAGCAUGUGUACUUAUGCACCUUGGGGUUUGCUUGUGGAUUUAUUCAGUAUUUGUAAAGUUCUUGCCCUUUACUUAGUAAAAGAUUUUUAGUUUUCAAAAAAUAUUUGACCUAGAGUCAUUAAAUUGACAGAACAGUGGCGCGGUGGGGGGACCAGUGUCCUAUGGACACAUUUCUAGUUUAUUAUAAGGUUUAUAACUCUUUCAUCUAUAUUUCAAGAGGUAUCUCCUCUUAAAACUUAGAAUUUUGUUUGAAAAAAGUGUAUGAGAACUUCAUAUUAUUGUCUUUCCAUUUCAACACUAUAAUUUCUUUUGAUAUUUUACGGUUUAUAAAGUCAUACAUGCUAUGUUGUGUAAAAAUGUUGGAUCUUCAAAAUGUAUAUCCAGUAAAAAGUCUGUUGGACUGUUAUGAUUUUGGAACAACACAUCUUGUGUUGAUUCAGCUAAAUUUCAUCUAAUUUUUAUAGCUUGGCUAGAUACUUAGCGAAACUUGUUCCAACGAUUUCAGGAAUGUGGAACAUUAAGGCUAUAUAUAAAAGCAAUUUAAAACAGAGUUUAGAUUUGGACCAUAUUUACAUAUAUUGCCAUUCAAGAAAUGCUUUAUCAAAACUAUGAUUAUUUUCACACAAACUGGCUUUUGAUACUGUAGGCUAUUCUAGAAACAGAGUGGAAAGAAAUGAGUGUUAUUGUAUUUUUUGUCAAAACAGAGAUAUUGGAGAUGAAUAACAUUUCGAUAUAUAAUGUAUGUUGUACGAACAUUUUAGAAAACAAUAUAUUAAAGCCUUUUAUUAUAGGAGAGCAACUGUUACAAAGUUUACAGAUUUUUUUAAGAGUGAACAUCAAGCUUUUAUACUUAGGAAGUCUUUGCUUUGUUAAAUUUGCCAAUAUGGAAUUUUAUGGAUUUUGUGUAGGGUAUUGAUAUAUAUGUAAACAUCUUAUUCAUCCUCCACAAACAACAUGUUGACCAUGUAAAUUGUGUUUACUGUUUGUUAAAUCACAUGUUAAAAUUAUGUUGUAUAGGUAUAUGCAAAUGUAUGACCAAAAACUGUACUGUUUACAUCAGUUAAAUUGUCUAUCUAUCUUUCGAUACAUCCAUCCAUCAUUAAUAGAUAAUGCAUUGCGCAAUAACAGUAAUUGAGUUUUAUUAAUUUUGGCUUGGACAGUUUUGAUCAGAUCACAGAGUAAAUUUGAAUUAUUAAUUAAAAUCAUGAGGUGAAAGAGUGCAAACUUCUAGGAUGAUAACCUCACAAUUAACUGUUAUGUAUCCUUAUUUUAUCCAAGCUACAACACAAAAAUGAAUCAGAAAUAUCAUCUUGAAUCUUCAGUGUUUUAUCCUUCACCUUUUGCGUUAAUGCCCUUUGAUUUGUUGUAUUAUGUCAUGGUAGGAAUUGGAUCGAUUUUUUUUAUAGACAGGGGAUUUGGCAGAUUUUGACUGCUUCUUGUUUAACUUAUAUGUAUUAAUUUGUUACAAUUGUUUUGAUGUGUAAUAUAUAAGACAUGCAAGUUAAUCUGAAUCAUGUGAAGCAUUCGGUGCAAUUUGUGUGUUAUAGUGAAAAAUGUUAUAAAUGUAUAAAGACCUUAAGUUUCUGAUUCUUAGGAUUUCACUUGUUUCCUUGAAAUGUAUUUUACUUUACAUGUACUUUAUUGUGUGAUGUUAAAAAAAUGAAUAAUAACUGUAAAUUUACUGAUUUAUAUAAUUCCAAACAUUUCUGUGAAAUGUACUCAUUAUAUGUUUUAAAAGGAUAUAUAGGCAAUUUUUCAUGCCCCCUUCAAAGAAGAGAUAUUGUUUUGCUAAUGUCUGUCGGUCUGUCCAUCGGUAGACCAUAUGGUUUUCGCUGAUUAUAUUAUAAAGUAUUGAUCACAAAGUCUUCAUAUUUCAUAUUGUGAUUGGUCAUAACUACAAGAUGACCCCUAUUGAUUAAGGGGUCACUAGGUAAAAGGUCACAGGUACCGUAAAUGUCAGAAUGGUUUCCAUUCAUUAUUUUGAAAACUUUUUAUGGCAAACUCUUCAUUAUUUUUUCUUUUUUUUCACAACUGAACACUUCCAUGUACCCUUUUAUGGCAAGUUUCUAUAACAGAAUAUACCAAUAAUGUGAGUUAAGGGCUAGAAAGGUGUGGGGGGGGCAUAUGUAUCAUUCGACAUUUCUUGUUUAUUUAUUUCUGAAAUUUUAAUCCAAUAUUGUAUUGAUGUCCUCAAAAUGAAUACACUAAGCAGUCACAGGUACCAAAACAUUUCUCCUUAUAAAGGAAAAAAACAGGCGGUCUGUACUUGACCAAUGUUCAGAAAAUUCAUUUUUUUGCGUUAAAUAUCGAAGUGAACUUUGGGACCAUAAAAGUAUCCAUAUUAUGUAACGACUUAGACUUGUUCCACACUUGUAAUAUUUGCCAUGUUUGUUUUUGUAGGGCUUGUUACAUGAUGUUCCACACUAGUACUUUU